rnacentral:rRNA from 1 species
CACGGCGCACGGGUGCGUAACACGUGGGCAAUCUGCCCUCCGGUGGGGAAUAACCCCGCGAAAGCGGGGCUAAUUCCGCAUAACAUUCCCUGGACUCUGGUUCGGGGAUUCAAAGCAGCAAUGCGCCGGAGGAGGAGCCCGCGCCCGAUUAGCUAGUUGGUGAGGUGACGGCUCACCAAGGCAAUGAUCGGUAGCUGGUCUGAGGGGAUGGCCAGCCACACUGGAACUGAGACACGGUCCAGACUCCUACGGGAGGCAGCAGUGGGGAAUCUUGCGCAAUGGGCGAAAGCCUGACGCAGCGACGCCGCGUGGGGGAUGAAGCUUCUCGGAGUGUAAACCCCUUUCGACCGGGACGAAUGCCCGCAAGGGAGUGACGGUACCGGUAGAAGAAGCCCCGGCUAACUACGUGCCAGCAGCCGCGGUAAGACGUAGGGGGCCAGCGUUGUUCGGAAUUACUGGGUGUAGAGGGUUCGUAGGCGGUGUGGCAAGUCGGGAGUGAAAUUUCUGGGCUUAACUCAGAAGCUGCUUCCGAAACUGCUGUGCUAGAGUGCGGGAGAGGCGCGUGGAAUUGCAGGUGUAGCGGUGAAAUGCGUAGAUAUCUGCAGGAACACCCGUGGCGAAAGCGGCGCGCUGGACCGUUACUGACGCUGAGGAACGAAAGCUAGGGGAGCAAACAGGAUUAGAUACCCUGGUAGUCCUAGCCCUAAACGAUCAGGACUUGGGGUGCCUUCCGUUCGGAAGUCGUCCCGGAGCUAACGCGUUAAGUCCUGCACCUGGGGAGUACGGUCGCAAGACUGAAACUCAAAGGAAUUGACGGGGGCCCGCACAAGCGGUGGAACAUGUGGUUCAAUUCGA